rnacentral:rRNA from 1 species
AGAGUUUGAUCAUGGCUCAGAGCGAACGCUGGCGGCGUGCCUUACACAUGCAAGUCGAACGUGAAAAGGGGCAACCCUGAGUAAAGUGGCGUACGGGUGAGUAACACGUAGAUAAUCUACCCCAGAGUCUGGAAUAACCUGCCGAAAGGCGGGCUAAUACUGGAUAGAGCGAUGGAAUCCGUAAUUGGGUUUUUCGGGAAAGGGAGGAAGCAAUUCCCUUCGCUCUGGGAUGAGUCUGCGUCCCAUUAGUUAGUUGGCGAGGUAAAAGCUCACCAAGACGAUGAUGGGUAGCUGGUCUGAGAGGAUGAUCAGCCACACUGGAACUGAAACACGGUCCAGACUCCUACGGGAGGCAGCAGUGGGGAAUCUUGCGCAAUGGACGAAAGUCUGACGCAGCCACGCCGCGUGAGUGAAGAAGGCCUUCGGGUUGUAAAGCUCUGUCGAGCGGGACGAAAACUUCUAGGGUUAACAGCCCUAGGAACUGACGGUACCGCUAGAGGAAGCACCGGCUAACUCCGUGCCAGCAGCCGCGGUAAUACGGAGGGUGCAAGCGUUGCUCGGAAUUAUUGGGCGUAAAGGGUAGGUAGGUGGUCUCAUUUGUCUGGGGUGAAAGCCUUGAGCUUAACUCAAGAAGUGCCCCAGAAACGGUGAGACUAGAGUUCUGGAGAGGGUCGUGGAAUUCCCGGUGUAGCGGUGAAAUGCGUAGAGAUCGGGAGGAACACCAGAGGCGAAGGCGGCGACCUGGACAGAUACUGACACUCAACUACGAAAGCGUGGGGAGCAAACAGGAUUAGAUACCCUAGUAGUCC